GGCUGCCGUGCCCGGGGAAUUUGGUCUUGGCUGGGGUGGGAACUGCGGCAUUUAACCACGGGCUCUGGGGCAGCCCCGUGAUUUAGCGACCUGAGCACAGCAACCACGCGUUAUGAGCCCAAAAUACAAUAAGUUUUGUUCGCCUUGACAGAAACAGACCUACAGAAGAAGAGCCGAGACGCAGCUGGGACCAGCCGGGCUUUUACCCAUCCUCUUUGUCCCAUGCAAGCGGGUGCCUCCACCGUGCACGCAGGCUGCGAACGCUCACUUUUGUCUGUGCAAGGGCUGAUGAAUCAUGCCUCAUUCCUGCAUGAUAUCACCGGGCUGUGAGGAGGCUGGCCCGAGGUUUCCUCGCUCGCUUCCCGGCUGAGCCCCGACAUUCGCCUCGCAAGGGGCUGGAGGCACAGCUCGGGUCCCCCCUCUCCUGCUCGGGGGCCGGGAGCAGCGUGCGGCCCCGCGGGGCUGAGCCAGGCUGUGCUGCCCUCGCUCCCUCGGCAGAGGACAAAGAAAAAUUCUCUUCUGUCAAAGAAACUAAGUUUGCUGUAAAGCGAGAGCAACGCCAACAGGGAAAAGGCAAAGAGCAGAGACAAACGGAGCUGCCGUUCCCUGAAGUGCAGUUUUCUGCCGGCUACGGCCAGGGAUUUAUUUCCGUGGUGGUUUCUAAAAUGCAGUCUGCCAUGGGUGGCAGGCACAGCCUGCUGGGGUUUAAAAGCAAUUUGUUGGCAUGGGAAAUAGCUGAUCAGAACACAGAGCCCCCCGCUAUUAAAGUAUUCGUUUCGGAAAUCUGCUGAAAAAGCUGCUGACUUCAGGACAGUUUCUCUUCAAGGCCUCUCGAAUGCUCAGCCGAGGCUGUCCCUCACGUAACGUAAGGCUGAUGGAAAAGGUAACCCAAGUAGAAUACAAUGGGAAUUAGCCAAAUCAGUUUAAACUUGUGGGUGUGUUUAUUCCAAAUUAAAUUCCGUUCCAAAAUGCAUUAAAUUGAGCUGAAGUAGAGCCAGUUUUAGUCUGAAUAAAAGUAUCUGCAGUCGAAUUCCUCCUGCUGGAAAGUGUCCAUGUGUAGACCAGCCCUCGGAUCGGAGAACUGCAUCAGGAAUUCAUUUUGUACCCCUCUAUCACCGGUGUUUUUUCAAGGUUUUUGGGAAUGAGACCAUUAGCUGAAGAGCCCCACUUUCCCCAGGCACCUCGUUUCCUCCAGUUGCUCCCACACCUUUCCACAUGUGCUUCCUCUGAGCAAAGUCAACACAGCUCUGCAGCCUGAAAUGGGCCCAGUCGUUUCAGGGAACAAAAGCGGACUCAGCGAUUUCCAUUUCUUUGUUUCUCCGAACGUGAUAACUUUUAAGCUAUAUUUUAAGUCACUUCCAGAAAUGAGUUCUACUUCUGGAACAGAAAUGACAGAAUCACCAGAAAAUGAUACGGAUCUCGCUGCGGGAACAAGCUGAAACAUUAAGCUGAUAAUACAGUAUCUCCAACAUGUUCGUUCUUCUGCCCAGUGCUGAAACUCUAUAGCAAGCUCUAACAAAGACCAUGCAUUACUCAAAAGAAAGGUCAAAUGUUUUCAUGAAUUCAAUCUCAUCACUCCAUUUGCUGUUUUUUUUUUUUUUUUUUUCCUCCCAAUAUUUCGCUGUCCAUAUGUUUCCAGUGUUUUUCCACCCUGAAGCCUUAUCGCCUCCCUGUUUCUUUUUAGAGUAUUUCAUUCGGGCUCUCCUUUGCCACUGGGGUCACUGUCUGCUUCCUGCCUUUGUUAUCACAGACUGACUGGGUAAACUGUGCAUCUCCAGCGCUGCGUUCCCUGUUGAACCAGCACUCAGCUUUUCCAUUUGCCACCCCCCCGACAUCUCAUAGAGGUCCCGGGAGGACCAGUAACAACCCCCCAAAAAUGUUUUUGAAUAUCUGCCCACAUGGGAGUGAUUUCAGGUGUCGUUACAGCCUGAUGGUUCUUCUCCAGGUCAGGAGGCUCUCCUGCUCUGCAGAUCACCUUCUUCUGGACUGGGGCUGCUUCUCCUCAGAGCAGUUGCAGGAGGCUGGAAGUCAGCCACGAGCCCUCUCUAGCAGGAGGCUGGGGCUGGUGGAAGCAGAAGCACAGCUUGGGUUUCCAAGUGGCUUCGUGGCUCUCGCGUGGCACUUCUAACUCCCCUAACCCAGCACCGUUGCCUUGCAGAACCACCCAAAUAAUUGUGGGGUCCCCAGCAUGAACACUGACACCUGGAGUAUCUGUGGUUACGUUUUCUGCCUCUCCAUUUCUAGCUGGAGUAUGUUUCACUGCACGAUUAACUAUUCAGCAAGACUGCAUGACCUGGAACUGGGAAUGUGCUAGGAAUUACACUUUUCACUCAUCCGUCCGUCGUGCCCAAUUUCCCCGUUAGAAGGGACGCCUCUGGAAAUGCCAGCGCAGCACCGUGGUGGCGCGGCAGUGAUGGAAGGUCUGAGAAGUGACAAGCUGAUUAUUUGGUGCUAAUGCAAAUUAUUAAACUGCAACGAGUUCAGUAAGGGUUCACUUGGCAGGUCCAUCCCUUGCAUGGAAAGCUAGCGAUAAAAACAUUAACCCAACCCGUGCUCAGUGCUCGCCUCUCCUCACGCUCACACGGUCAGGUCCCAGAGGAAUCCAUGCGAUGCCCAUUUCCCUCCCGCAGUCUGUCCCCACUGCCUGACCCUCCGGUGUCCCCCGAGCCACCCAGGUGCCACAGCUGCAAGCCACGGGGGACCCGGAGCAGUGCAGCCAAGUGCCAGAGUGGACUGAUGCUGCUGAACCCUCCCAACCCUCCCCGUGGUGCCUCCGUGACCAACCGAGAGGGUAAGAAAUAAAGGAGAUGGUGCAAAGCUGGUGAGUGCAAAGGGGCUGAGUCGGGAGCCUCCUCCCCGGCAGCCACACACGUUACUUGUAGCUGCACCUCUGCAGACAUCCUCCAUUGUAUGCUGGGAGGUGCAGCUCCCCAUCUUGCUCGUUUAAGUAGCGAACUCCUAUGUGAUGAAAAGUUCAUUUUAAUGUGACAUUCAUCACGUUCUGAAAUACUUCUCGCAGCUUAUUUGCCCAGAGGUUCCAGAUGAAUGACUUCUCUGAAAGAGCUCCUAUUACACUGACGCCUGAUGUAGCAUGUGUAACAUUCCAAGCUCCGCUUAAUUUUAUCACCUGAGAGUUAGAAUACUUCUGUCAUUAAGUUCUCGGUCCUGCUCCAAAGCACACGGAUGAAGGAUUUGCAUGGACCUCAUGCUGGCCCCAAACCUGCAGAGCUGCUUCAGGAGGAGCCAGGCCAGCACAAGGGGGAUGCUCGCUCCUGCUCUUCUCAUCCUGCAGGCCCAGAUGCCGGGAGCAGGGCUGUUUGCUCUGGGGGUGCACGGCCUCUCCCGACAGCUUCAGCGGCUGAAGCAAGGCCAGGACCGACCCCGGCUCCCCUGCCGGCACUGCGUGCCCCGUGACUGAUGAGCAGCAGUUGGGAAAACAACGAGAAACGCUGGCAUAACACUGCAAGGAGAAGAUGAGAUUAGAAGCGAUCUGCUUCUUCUGUAAGGCUAAUUGUUCCCAUUAUGGGAUUAAACUGAUUGAUUCCCUGUCAGAAGCAGCGCCGGGAAGAACAAAGUGAAAACCCCACGUGUAAUGUGAGCCCGUGCACCGUGCACACUCUGAACUUCUCUGUUUUCUUCUUGUGAAAUCAUGACAGACGUCAGCUGUUGGGGUGUUCUGCAAACAAACUUGAUACGUCUUUAUUAUCAUUAUUUCAUGUGGUAGAAAGCAAGCAAUCGCAGCUAUUCAGCAGAUAGGUUCAUGCCUUUCUUCAGGAUUUCAGCGUUUAUCAUCCCAGCUCUGGGGUCCAUUGAUGGAGAUGCUUCCUUUUUUGGGUGUUGUGCCGCUACAGAAUGCAGACAACUGGAGAAAAUUAAGCUGAAUGUUCCCAAUUUAUGCAGGUCAAGGGAAGUUUGCCUUUUAUCGUUCAGAGAUAAGUUCAGCAAACUCACUGUUUUUGAAAGGCUGAGUUCCGCAGAUGCCGUUAUUAAGCCUCAGGAAUCACAGAGGUUUCUGUAGGUGGAUUUCACAGAACCUUUCCAAUCCAUUCCAGAGUAUUCCACAGCCUUAUCCUGACAGGGACAGAGGGGAAAAGCAAGCUAAAAACUGGGGCGAUGAGCCACGCGAUCGCCUGUCCCCGGGCAGCCUGCCAGGAUUAACGCAGCCCAGUUCAUCAGCUGCUGAGGGUGUGGGAACAGGACACGUGCUGUCCCUUUCUGUACCAUCGCAGAGGCUUUUCCCCUCCCCUCAGGCUCUUCAUCGCUUGUAGGACUUUUACAGAAGUUAUCUACAGACGCACAAGCAUCCUCAGGCCUCAGGUGAACACCACUCACACAGUCACAGCAUCACUUUUCUGUUGCCUUGUGUGAACCGAAGCAAACAUCCCCUGGGAUUGUAUGGAAAAAGCAGGGCAUAUUUGGUGUGGUUUAUGCUGGUUAUGAGAGGCGUGCUUAACAAGUCAAACUCUCCCUGUUUCCUCAGUUCAUUGGAUUGCUGGAGGUGGAUUUCCAAAGUAUCUUUUGAAAAAUAUUUUGCUUGAAUUUUGAGGUGAAACGCUAUGAGGUGCUCAGGCUGGACUGAAGAAUAAACAUCCAUCAUUCGCUAGGAUUAAAUGAAGAAACUCCGUAACAGCAACACCGACAGCAAACGAAGAAGCUCCCCAGAACCGUGCACACGUGCACUCGCAGCAUGGUCCUGUCCAGCAGCAGCGAUCACCUCUGCGGGGAACGAUGACCAGAAGCCACGGGCUGAGCUGAUCUAGCAGGGGAUACAGGAGAAACAGCUGAGGAAAUGGCGGUGUGAUCCAAAAUUCAAGAUGUACCUAGGAAAAUUCCUAAUGACUUCGACAGGCAUUAGCUCAACCCUCAUUUUUUGGUUACUGUAAAAAAAUGAAUGGACUAAGCCUUCCUGUCCCUACCAGAGCCUGCAGGCCAAAGUGAAGAUGCUUUGGUAUCCAAACCCCACCAUUCAUGGGAGUGAGUCUCCUGGCACCAAGUCAGACCAAAAGUCAUCAAAUAACAUGCGAAUAGAAUCUGCAAGA